rnacentral:lncRNA from 1 species
UUGCUUCUAAAUCCUGCAAAUAAUUCAUCUCUCUAUUAUGUCAACUGAUUCACCUCAAUCUUAGACAGAAUAGUUGUAACCUUCAAGUGCUGCAUAGUAUGACACAUAAUGCAGCCCAACUUUUUCAGUCAGGCUAAUGCUUCAGCCAAAUAACUUUUCGAAGCAAAUAUUCGAUAAUUUUGUUUCAAGAGAAUAGGUACAUUGAAAAGUGUACUGACACAGGGUUAAUACCAAUAUUUCUAACUUCACCAGAGCUAGCUCAUUGCCCUUCUGAUUCGACAGGCUCCUCUUUUGUCGCCAAAUUUCUGAACCUUUCUCCUUGAACUGAACAUCCACUCCCCAGUAGAGUAUGGUUCUCCAUCAUCUCCAAUUUAUUGGGUCUUGCAUCUUGCAAUUCACACUUCCGCUCUUGCAGUUCUCUUUUGCCCUUCCAAGCUUAUAUUGUCCUCUCCAAUGACUCGAAUCAUGGCUCCAUUUUUGCACAUACCAUGCAUUUCCCUCAAUGAUCUACCUACAGGAUGGACUUCUGAUACUAGUGGAUAUGAACUAGAACAGAAAAAUAGCAAAUUGUUUUUUAUUGACGACGGACCUUAAUUUUCAAAGCACAUACAAAUUGG